rnacentral:sRNA from 1 species
UUCUGGAAGAGGAAUAAGGAGCAGGAGUCCAGCCCAGAGGCAGCUCCUGUGGCUGUUGGGUGUUUUACUCUUGAGUCUGUCAAGAGCAGUAAACGUGACCCAUGUCAUCAGAGCAGUGGCCGAGACUCCCUGGUAAGGUGAGUGUCCUCACAGACCAAGUAGAAGCCCAGGGAGAGAAGAUUCGAGACCUGGAAGUGUGUCUGGAAGGACACCAGGUGAAACUCAAUGCUGCUGAAGAGAUGCUUCAACAGGUAAGGGCAGGUGCGCUGAAGGCCUUUGGGUUCUGAAGCAGCUCAUGUGCUGAAGCCCCUUUGUGUGCUCAGGCUACAGCUCUCGCUGUCUGCUUUCCCAUCCUGCCUGGAGGCAGGAUUGGCUGCUCAGUUGUAUAGUGUUUAUACAGCAGGUGAAACCAACCUGAACAUUGAGAGUGGCAGAGGGGGUAGGGAAGGGAAGGGCUGCCCUGAGAUGAAUAACCUGCUGAGCUGGUUAGACAGAUUCCCAGAUAGCACUUUCUCCAGACCUGGUGCAGUGAGGGAGCACUUGGCUAGGGGCCUCACCCUCAUCCUGUGGGUGCCAUCUGGAGUUUUAGAAAGUCAAUUCUCAGCUGAUUCUAUGCCCCUUUCCCAUCUCGCUCUGCCUCUUCCUACUCUAUAUAGUUUUUAAAAUAAAAAUAUUAUAUAAAUAACAUUUUAAUAUAAUUUAAUAGAUAUCAAAAUGGAAAAAAAUAUUUAACUGUUCCCUACCAUUCAAAUAAUGUCUUCUCCUUGUUUUCUUUUUGUCCUUGUUAUGUGUACAUGUACUUUCCAAAUCUGUAGUCACAAGAGAUACUCAAUUUAGUCCUCAGAUUUUGUAUGCUUAAUAUUAUAUUUUUCCCAUUUAAAAUUUUUGCUGUAUUGUCAUCUUUACUAUCACUUAUAAUAGAUUUUCUUAGUAAAAGUAUCAGAAUUAACUUAACGUUUUUUCAAUUCCUAAAUAUUUUUACUGUAUUAUAAAUACUGAGCUACAAUUUUUUAGGAAGGGGUGUUGAAUUUUUAUUGUAUCAAAACUUCAGAAUUUGUU